CGCAUCUGUGCAUGCAGCAUAUCAAUAAGCGGAGGAAAAGAAACUAACAAGGAUUCCCCUAGUAACGGCGAGUGAAGCGGGAAGAGCUCAAAUUUGAAAUCUUAAAGGGUUUCCCUUUACGAAUUGUAGUUUAAAGAAGUGUUUUCUGUUGAGGUUUUGGUAAAAGUUCUUUGGAAUAGGACAUCAUAGAGGGUGAGAAUCCCGUAUUUGACCUUUACUUUCAACUUUGUGAUACACUUUCAAAGAGUCGGAUUGUUUGGGAAUGCAGCCUAAAUUGGGUGGUAAAUCUCACCUAAAGCUAAAUAUUUGCGAGAGACCGAUAGCGAACAAGUACCGUGAGGGAAAGAUGAAAAGAACUUUGAAAAGAGAGUUAAACAGUACGUGAAAUUGUCAAAAGGGAAGCGUUUGACACCAGUGUUGUUUUUCUGAAAAUCAAUUAAAGAACUGUUUAUGCUAAGUUGUUUAGACUUUAUCAGCUAUCUGCUUAGUUUUGAGCUUUUCUUUAAUGCACUUUUCAGUUAACAAGUCAACAUCAAUUUCUUUUGCUGUAAAAAAGCUUGAGGAAGGUGGCUUGAGAUUCGUCUUAAGUGUUUAUAGCCUCUUGCCUAUGCAGUCGGAGAGAUUGAGGUCUGCAGCGUAGAUCCUUCGGGGCUAAAUGCAUUUGUGCUAAGUUAUAGCAUUUUAUAGACAACUUGUUGACUAUGAUUUGUCUUGUAGCUUACUCGCUUAUGUUAUUUUACCUACGCUUAGGAUGUUGACUGAUAUGUAGUCGUA
rnacentral:rRNA from 1 species